GUUAUAGUAGUUUAGAAUAAAAACAUUGGUCUUGUAAACCAAAAUCAGAUUAAUAUCUCUAUAACU
rnacentral:tRNA from 1 species